AGUCGAACGAUGAACCACUUCGGUGGGGAUUAGUGGCGAACGGGUGAGUAACACGUGGGCAAUCUGCCCUGCACUCUGGGACAAGCCCUGGAAACGGGGUCUAAUACCGGAUAACACCCGCUCAGGCAUCUGAGUGGGUUGAAAGCUCCGGCGGUGCAGGAUGAGCCCGCGGCCUAUCAGCUUGUUGGUGAGGUAGAAGCUCACCAAGGCGACGACGGGUAGCCGGCCUGAGAGGGCGACCGGCCACACUGGGACUGAGACACGGCCCAGACUCCUACGGGAGGCAGCAGUGGGGAAUAUUGCACAAUGGGCGAAAGCCUGAUGCAGCGACGCCGCGUGAGGGAUGACGGCCUUCGGGUUGUAAACCUCUUUCAGCAGGGAAGAAGCGAAAGUGACGGUACCUGCAGAAGAAGCGCCGGCUAACUACGUGCCAGCAGCCGCGGUAAUACGUAGGGCGCAAGCGUUGUCCGGAAUUAUUGGGCGUAAAGAGCUCGUAGGCGGCUUGUCACGUCGGUUGUGAAAGCCCGGGGCUUAACCCCGGGUCUGCAGUCGAUACGGGCAGGCUAGAGUGUGGUAGGGGAGAUCGGAAUUCCUGGUGUAGCGGUGAAAUGCGCAGAUAUCAGGAGGAACACCGGUGGCGAAGGCGGAUCUCUGGGCCAUACUGACGCUGAGGAGCGAAAGC
rnacentral:rRNA from 1 species